AACCUAGCACACCUGCGGUGUGUACCUGCGGAGGGAUCAUUGCAGAAACAAAUAUAUACCCAAGGGGGAAGAGUUAGCGCUCUUUUUCCUGGGCAAACAACCAACACACAUGACUAGGAAAAGCAAACAGAGACUGUGGAGGAAUUGGCUUGGUCGGCUUGGCUUGGCUUGGCUUGGGUCCUCGCACAGCACACAAGAAGCUCUUGUCUGAUAAGUAGCUUGCUGAUUUGGAGUUACUAC
rnacentral:misc_RNA from 1 species